rnacentral:rRNA from 1 species
UAGGGAAUAUUGGACAAUGAGCGAAAGCUUGAUCCAGCCAUGCCGCGUGUGCGAUGACGGCCCUCGGGUUGUAAAGCACUUUAGGUAACGAGGAAAAGUUAGGUGUUAAUACCAUCUAACCUUGACGUUAAUUACAGAAUAAGCACCGGCUAAAUCCGUGCCAGCAGCCGCGGUAAUACGGAUGGUGCAAGCGUUAAUCGGAAUUACUGGGCGUAAAGCGCGCGUAGGUGGCAUAUUAAGUUAGAUGUGAAAUCCCGAGGCUUAACCUCGGAACUGCAUCUAAAACUAAUAAGCUAGAGUACUAGAGAGGAAAGUAGAAUUCUUAGUGUAGCGGUGGAAUGCGUAGAUAUUAAGAGGAAUACCAAUGGCGAAGGCAACUUUCUGGAUAGAUACUGACACUGAGGUGCGAAAGCGUGGGGAGCAAACAGG